CACGUAGGGUGCGAGCGUUGUCCGGAAUUAUUGGGCGUAAAGAGCUCGUAGGCGGUGUGUCGCGUCGGCCGUGAAAACCUGCAGCUUAACUGUGGGCGUGCGGUCGAUACGGGCAUCACUGGAGUUCGGCAGGGGAGACUGGAAUUCCUGGUGUAGCGGUGAAAUGCGCAGAUAUCAGGAGGAACACCGGUGGCGAAGGCGGGUCUCUGGGCCGAUACUGACGCUGAGGCGCGAAGGCGUGGGGAGCGAACGGG
rnacentral:rRNA from 1 species